AGCAGCCGCGGUAAUUCCAGCUCCAAUAGCGUAUAUUAAAGUUGUUGCAGUUAAAAAGCUCGUAGUUGAAUUUCGGGGUUAGUAGGUUGGUCAUGCCUCUGGUAUGUACUGGUCUCACUGAUUCCUCCUUCCUGAUGAGCCGUAAUGCCAUUAAUUUGGUGUUGCGGGGAAUUUGGACUGUUACUUUGAAAAAAUUAGAGUGUUUAAAGCAGGCUCACGCUUGAAUACAUUAGCAUGGAAUAAUGAAAUAGGACGUUUGACCCUAUUUUGUUGGCUUCUAGGAUUGACGUAAUGAUUAAUAGGGAUAGUUGGGGGCAUUAGUAUUCAAUUGUCAGAGGUGAAAUUCUUGGAUUUAUUGGAGACUAACUACUGCGAAAGCAUUUGCCAAGGAUGUUUUCAUUAAUCAAGAACGAAAGUUAGGGGAUCGAAGACGAUCAGAUACCGUCGUAGUCUUAACCAUAAACUAUGCCGACUAGGGAUCGGAUGAUGUUAAUUUUUUAAUGACUCAUUC
rnacentral:rRNA from 1 species